CCCCACAAGUCGGCACUCCGGAGAUAGCCAUCGCGACACAAGCUCGCUCGUGCAGGAUUGGGCGCCAAAAUGAGUUGCCGUGGGGGAGGCUCAUUCCUAGGGUGGGGAUGUUGACUACCACGGGGCCAUUGUUGGCGCGGCGCAGGCCGGACUACCUACGGGUAGCUUCCACAGGAUUGGGUUACUAGUGACAAAUUAUACCUUUGGACAUUGACUAGAAUAGUAAACGUUGAC
rnacentral:lncRNA from 1 species